rnacentral:misc_RNA from 1 species
AAUAUAGAAGAGGAAGAGAUAAGGUGAAACUCCUAUUAUGCCUGGUUACAUUUUUUAUUUUGGACUUUGUAGCUUCUUGUGUUUCUCCAGUUUAUGAUUUAUCCUUCUGAGUUUUGCAGUUACUUACGAACAAAUAAUAUGGACUUGAAAGUAUCUAUUCCAAAAUUUCUUCGUUUUGCUAUUUGUAUUUAGUUAUUUAUUGGGGCCAAAAGCAUAUUUCGCUCCCCUAUACUUUCACGAAAAAUUCGAUUUAACAUUGAACCAAUUUGCCCUCAGAAUUUAAUAAAUUGAAUCAAUUUAAUACAUUUUACUAAGUCAGCUAUCUAGUGUAUUUCACACUCCAGUGCGCACGUUAAUGGAGGGAAGGGUGCAGACGUG